CUUGAAUUAAUUAUGAACAUGAUUAAGAAAGCUAAAAUCUCAGGAGCCAGUCUCUCAUUACCCAUUCACUCUUAGGGAUUGCUUUCAUUCAGGGAAGGAGAGGCGAAAAAGCCUUCCAGCAGAGCCCACUCCGGCUCAGCUCUUCUCCCUGUGUGCCUGUCCCCUUGUCUCUGCUGCCGGGCCAACUGACCAAGCCUCCGACAGACAGACCGGCCGGCCGGCCGCCAGCCCGCCCGCCGCCUGGACGGCUCUCUUGCACUCAUGCCUGUUAUGGUGAUGUGGCCAAGCUCAGCUAGCUGCUUCGUGGCCUCUGACGUUUGCAUGGAAAAGAGAGGAUGUGCUCAACCUUCCUGUUCUACACCUGAGUUCAAGCUCUGGGGUCUUGACCCUCUUAAAAAAAGAAACACUCGAGAUAACCAGACAGGACGACACAAUCUUCCGUGAUCCAGGAAGCAACCUCAAACCAUUAAAACAGACAGAAGUCUUUGGAACAAGUCAUGACCGUUCGCCUCCUGUUAUAUGCAGGGAACACAGCAACCUCUUCUGGACAAAAGUGAAAGUAGCAGACAGUGUAAAGAAGCCAGCAUAACCGAAAUGAGCCCUGGCAGCCACAACGAACACAGCCAAGAGCAUGGUAACCUUUUCACCCACAUACGUAAGAUUCUGAUUUGAAAACACAAAAUUGAAGCUUUUACUAAAAGAAAGAAUGGAUCUUUUAAACAGCGUGAGUAAAGAUAUUGCACAGACAAGUAUCAGACUCAAAUAUCACCAUCAAAGAAUGAUCAGAAAACAUUUAGCGCAUGACUUGAAAUAUUACCAACAUCGCCAAGAGAAACCAAACAACUUAAGGUUGGAUAAAUGACACGCUUACAUGAACGCUCUGACUGGGAUGUAAAAGAAUAAUUUUGUCGCCGCUAGAAAACAUAUGAAGAAAUGCCAGUUUUGAAAAAUGUCAUCUUUAAAAGGGAAAUCUAAAUGUCAGAGAGACAGAUACUUUACACAUAGAGAGCGCUGCCUUCUGGGCGUAACACAGAAAGGCGUGAGAAUAAUAUUUUUUUCCCAGUUGAAAUGAACUGCAAUUACCCGUCAUCAGGCACAGAAAGCAGCACGCUUCACAUCCACAGUCACAUCGCCUGGAGAGGAGCGUGGUCACUGUUUGCAACAUUAGUCAGGAAAUCUGAGGAGGAAAGCACAACAAAAGAAAGAAAUGUGUUUUUGUUAUGCCACAGGAAAAAAUAGAGACACUUUGUUCCAAUGUGCGAUAUGUUACUAAAAAAUAUAAUGAAUUAAUAUCAAAAACAGAGCAAUUGUUCAAGUACUAACAGAAAAUUAAUCUGCCA
ensembl:lncRNA